CGUGUAGGCGGUCCGGUAAGUGAGAUGUGAAAUCCCUCGGCUCACCCGAGGACCUGCAUCUCAAACUGCCUGACUCGAGUACGGGAGAGGAUGUGGGAAUUCCUGGUGUAGCGGUGAAAUGCGUAGAUAUCAGGAGGAACACCGGUGGCGAAAGCGCACAUCUGGCCCGAUACUGACGCUGAGGCGCGAAGCUAGGGAGCAAACG
rnacentral:rRNA from 1 species